GCCCGUAUAGCUCAAGUACUUCACCCCGUUCAAACUUGUCUCCAAGAGCAUUUCACUGACCAUUCAAUAGUGGUAGAGCGCGUCACUAGUAAUGACGAGGUUGCCGGUUCGAUUCCGUCUAUGGGCA